CAGGUAGGGAUACCCGCU
rnacentral:rRNA from 3 species